GACGAACGCUGGCGGCGUGCUUAACACAUGCAAGUCGAACGGGAACCUUUAUUUCGGUAAAGGAGAGAGUGGCAAACGGGUGAGUAACACGUAGGCAACCUGCCGACAGGAUGGGGACAACACUCCGAAAGGAAUGCUAAUACCGAAUGGAGUCCGAGGAUGGCAUCAUCCUUGGAUCAAAGAUGGCCUCUUAACAAUGCUAUCGCCUGUCGAUGGGCCUGCGUCUGAUUAGCCAGUUGGCGGGGUAACGGCCCACCAAAGCGACGAUCAGUAGCCGGUCUGAGAGGAUGAACGGCCACAUUGGGACUGAGACACGGCCCAGACUCCUACGGGAGGCAGCAGUGGGGAAUCUUCCACAAUGGGCGAAAGCCUGAUGGAGCAACGCCGCGUGAGUGAAGAAGGUCUUCGGAUCGUAAAGCUCUGUUGCACGGGACGAAAAACUGGGUUUGAAAAAC
rnacentral:rRNA from 1 species